rnacentral:rRNA from 1 species
AUUGAACGCUGGCGGCAGGCCUAACACAUGCAAGUCGAACGAGUGGCGGACGGGUGAGUAAUGUCUGGGAAACUGCCCGAUGGAGGGGGAUAACUACUGGAAACGGUAGUUAAUACCGAAUACAAUCGGAUGUGCCAAGAUGGGUUUCGCUAGUAGGUGGGGUAACGGCUCACCUGGGAGACGAACCCUAGCUGGUCUGGGAGGAUGACCAGCCACACUGGAACUGAGACACGGUCCAGACGCCUACGUGAGGCAGCAUUGGGGAAUAUUGCACAAUGGGCGCAAGCCUGAUGCAGCCAUGCCGCGUGUAUGAAGAAGGCCGUCGGGUUGUAAAGUACUUUCAGCGAGGAGGCGUUACUCGCAGAAGAAGCACCGGCUAACUCCGUGCCAGCAGCCGCGGUAAUUC